GGGCAGGAUGUGUGAAGUAGGCCCACCAUGCAAGCAUGUUGGAGCCUCUUCACUGUUCACUUAUUCGCACCUACGGUGCUCAACGUUAUUCCUGCUCUACGAGGUC
rfam:Halomonas sp. JB380 genome assembly, contig: Scaffold16